rnacentral:lncRNA from 1 species
UAGAAUGGAUCCUGCUGUUUCUGUCCCCAAUGCUAGUGCUGCAAGGUUUGCUGCUACUGAUGUUGCAGAACCAGUGCUUGAACCUGAUGGAUCAGCACUUGCUACAUAAGGAUUCUGUAACAACAUGAUGAGUAAAAAACACCAGGUUAUUAAACUCUUUUUAGUCAAAUUAUCAAAAAAGGCAGCCACGAGGGGGUGUGCAUAGACAGUCUGCCCUGACGUAAGCCUAGUGGUUGAUUCCCCAGCUCAAACAUGUGACCUAUAAGUCACACAGAAACAACUUUACCAUUGCUCAAACUUAAAGUAGUAUAUAGUGUUUAAUACUAUUAUAGGCUUCUUCAAAUCUUUGUUUGUCUUUCAUUUUUAUAUUUUGCAUCUUAACUAAUAUCAUAGAGGCGGUAUCAUCAUUUUUUUUCACUAAUUUUCUCAAUCUAUAAGUUUAACGACUUGAGUUAUGACCUGUUUUGGGACUUGAAUUACUUCUUCAUUACUCUUACAUGCUUGACUUAGUUAAGCUGUAUUUAGGGGAAUCAUUUUUUCUCAAUCAAUAAAGAACGAGACUUUACCAAACAAGCACCGAUAUUGAUGAUAGUGACCUUGAUACGGAGCUGGAACUGCAGAGAGACUCUUCCUAUCUUAUUAGUCAAGCGCUAAUUUACUGACAAUCACAUGUUAUAAUUCACUAGUGGUAUAAAAUUCCUUAUACCGUCCGUCAGCAUAUAUAACUUAAAAUUUUUUUACCAAUGACUCACCAGAGCUUGACCAAGUCUGCCAUUCCAACCACUAGGGAUAUUCUCAGUUCUAAAAGCAGCCCAUUCAGUCAUAGUUGCCUUGCCAAGUAUGAUAGCACUAGCAUUCCUCAACUUCUUGAUCACACCAGCAUCUUGUGGCACAAUGGACCCAACAAGUGCUAGUGAUCCUGCUGUUGUGUUAAGUUUAUCUUUUGUUGCAAUGUUGUCCUUGACAAGAACUGGUAUACCAUGUAGCCUGCUGGACAGUGGUACCCCCGAUUUUCGUUCUUGAUCAGCUUUAUCUGCAAGAAAAAGUGCAUCUGGAUUCACUUCUAUGAUCCCUUUAAGAAUUGGAUUAGCUUUCUGGAUUUCACUUAGAUAGAACUCAACAAGUUGUGUUGAGGUAAGUCUGUUUUGCUUGAAAGCUAUGUGAAUAUCAUCUAUACUUGUUUCCUUAAAUGAGAAUGUUUUCGCCUCAGAUUUGUUCCUGAAGUUGGAUAAUAUCAUGCACAGAGAACUGAAGAGAAUGGAAAAAAGAGACAUUUUUUGUUGUCAAAGUGGUUGAAGCUAUCUACUUCAAUAUUAGUCACAUAAAAAUGGAUAGGGAAUAAAGAGUCUUGGAGAAAUGAUAAAGAGUUGUUUGUUUAUGACUUAUAGAUCACGUGUUCGAGCGGUGGAAUCAUUCAGUAAUGCUUGUGUGAGGGUAGACUACCUACAUUACACACUUUGGGGUGCGGCCCUUCUUUAACAAGAAAGCAAAAAAGAACUGAAUUCAUGUCCUCAACCAAAGAUCAACAGGCAGAAUACAUCUUUAUUUGACAACUAACUAUCACACCAUGAUAGAGGCUAAACAAGAAAUUCUUUAGGCAUAACAGUCAGUAAAAUAAGACACUGUGAGAGGUUACAAACUACAUGAGCAUCAACACAGCGAGCAGAUAGAAGUAUCACAUCUCAAUUGGACUACUAUUGUUUUUGUCGGAUUAAGAGAAAGAUGGAUAACAUAAUAAUUCUCGAAGGUAUGACUCUUGCUAGAUAUUAACUAGAAUGACUCGAAGAUAUAAAAGUUCAUCAACGUUAUUUUAUGAUUUUUUUUUUCCUUUUGUCAACAUUUUGCUCUGGAACGUUGUACUUGAUAAUUAACAAAUCAUUUCAGAUGUGCAUACAUUCUAGAUUGAAUCGGAUAUGUAAUCCCAAUGAGGAUGUGAAGGAGGGGGCUUUCUGAUACGAGUUGCUUGUUCAAAGCCAUAUGCAAUCUCAAUGAGUGUUGGCUCAGAUCCCUUUAGUCCUCCGAAGGAAGUUCCGAAUGGAACUCCACUUUUAUCAUAACCAGCAGGUACAUUGAUCCCUGGAUAACCUCCUAUCGCGAGAAGAUGAGCAAUGUCAGCACCAGGUGACAUCAAUGCGUCUAACGCCUUUUCCUUCAUCAUCUUCUCGAACCCGUAUUUACAUGCUUUUGUUAUGUUGCUCAGUGCCUCCCUUUCCAAUUUCCCUAUUCCAUUCGUCUUCUCAGCUGCCUCCAUUAUGUCUUGACCAUAUUCUUCGACUUUUUCCUACAAUGAUAUAUAAAAGGAAAGAAGAAAAAUCAACUUAGAUGGCCGCACAUCCAACCUCUUAAACUAAAUAUUGUUUGCGGAUGUAUAAUAUGUGUAUAAUCCACAUAUAACAUGUGUAUAACCGUGUAUAAUCUGUAUAUCGGCGAGGAACGAUAAGCAGUGAAUCCAGCCAACUAUUUAUGUAAAGUUCCCUAAAAAGAAUGAAAAACAGAUAUACUUCGAUUCUACUUCUACAGACAUGUAGUUCAGCUAAUUUCAAUUAACAAGUGAAAGCUUUUAAUUCCUGCAAUAAUGUACUGCAAACCAAUAUGAACAUAUUGUUAAAAAUUAUUUAUGAACAAAGUAGUACUGGAAUGACUUCAGCCCAAAUAUGACAGGAAUGGUUACAACAUUGUAUAACUGAUCUCAACUUAAUUUUCUAAUAUCGAGGUGCAGUUAAUUGAUUGACUAAUACUUACCGAAGCUGAAACCUUGUUGAAGGCAAUAACAUCUGCCAAGGAUCGGACUCGAGUGUAGACUAACUUUUUAAGAUAUGCAUUUAGGUUCAUCUUGGAUUCAGCAGAAAGUGCUAUGCGUUGAGCAACAACAAGAGCAUCUUGGACCAAGUCGAUGUUAGGUAUUUCCAGGUUGUCAACUAAUACUGCUCCUUUUUGCCUUCAAAUAUUUCCAAGAAAAAAAGAUGCAUCUCUUAUAGGAUUAACAUAAUAAAUCAAAAUCAAACAUGAUAUUUGGACACAAAAUAAUUACCAUUGACAACAAUCACGCACCAGAGGUUAUGAGAUAACUCUGACAAUGUGCUUGUAUAAGGCAUAAUACAUAAGCAUACACUCAAACUUGGUCUCAACUGGCAAGUAGGCACUCAAGCUUUGAGAGUGCACAUCUAGACACCGGAACUUGGUCUCAACUGGGAACUAAACACUCCAACUUGUCCCCACUGUGUUUCGUGGACACUAGACACUGACGUGACACAUAAAUUUUGGAGUUGUCUAUCAUUUUGUAAGUUAAAGUGUUCAGAAGUGACACAUAAAUUUUGGAGGUGUCUAUCAUUUUGAAAGUUAGAGUGUUUAAUUGACGCAAUGAAGAAACUAGUUGAGGUGUCUGGAUGUGCAUAUUAAAAGUUGGAGUGUUUAGUUGCCACUUGAGGUCAAGUUAAAGUGUCGAUCUAUGUACUAUGCCUUUAUAUAAGGUCUAGAGAGAGAACCUAGCUGAAACUAGUGAAAUCGUGAGGGCCCUCCCAUACGCCUAUCAAGUUGAGCCUACACUCACCGCCGGCUAUACAGGACCGGCCAAGCACAUAAAGUGCACGGUCUAAUAAUGAGUAAAACUAAACUAUAGAAAUAUAAGUACAAGUGAAAAGGAUUACCUAAAGGUGUUAAAAUGCUGUUGGUACGUCUUGAUAUCAUUGGAACCAAAAAGGUCCUUUGAAAUACCUAGUCUUUUAUCUUUGAGCCCAUCAGCCUUAAGAAAUUGCCGGUAUCCACCAUGUGGAAUGUAAGUGGAAGCCUUUUUAGUUGCUGGAAAAUCAUCUCGAUCGAAGCCAACAAUGGCAUCAAGAACCUCAACAGCAUCAGAUACUGUCCUGCAGAUUGGCCUGUUCUACGACAAAAAAGCAUUGUAUGAAAACAUUUUCGAUGUCUUCCAUGAUCAUGUUUGUUACCAAGUACUUGCAUUUUUGCUACUCUAAUGCAGCCUACAACGUCUAAAUUGUGGAUCUAAUACUAAAAACAAGUAGUCCUAUUUUGCAUCAUCAAAUUUUUCGCAGCUGUUCAAAACUCUGGCAUUAUAUAGUUCCACAAAGAGAAAAAAGAAUACUCCAUCCAUCCAAAAAGAAUGACACGUUUCCAUAUCUGAAAUUUUACUCUAAAUUUCUCGUUUAACCCUUAAUAAAAUGUUUCUAUAGCCACAUCAAUUCUAUAACAACCACAAUUUUCAACUUUCAAAAGCCAACACAAAAAAUGAGUCUUUUAGCGAAGUUAGCAUAUUUUGUCAAGAGGAAGAAACUUAUUACAUUGUAGCCGCUCAUGGUUAUUUUUGCUGAUUGGUCUUCCAAUGUGCUAGUUUCAAUGACUCUCUUUCGUUACAUUUCUUCCUUGCUGCUUGGCAUAUAGUGUCAAAUUUGUGCCGAAUGUCUCUCAAUGUUGAGAGUCUUGCCAUUAAAUAGAAAGUAUUCAAAGAUUACAUCCCAAAAAAUCCGCCUUUCCUGUCGCUACUAUCCCUUUGAAUCCGCUAUUGUAUCCCUUAUAAUCUGCUAUUCUAUAUCUUUGAUUACUACAUCAUAUCUCUAUAAUUACGAAUAUACUACAAUAUAUAAUUACAUUAAUAUAUACAAUAUUCACUAUUAAUUCAUGAUCUUUGAGUUGUCCAUCAUGCUAACAUAUAGUAGGUAUCUGGUUUACCGCCAGUGGCGGAGCCACAGCCAACGAAGGAUGGUCAGAUGAACACCCUUCGUCGAAAUUUUUUCUGACCAUCCUUCGUCGGAAUUUUUUUUCGAGUAUAUAGGUUAAAUAUAAUAUAGAAAUGUUGUUGCACGCCCUUGACAAGCUAGAGAAGCAUAGUCUAUGUGAAGAAAUGGACCUUGGGCCUAACUCAAUCUCAAAAGCUAGCUCAAGAGGUGAGGAUUACCCAAGUCCAUAUAAGCAAACCACUAGUCCAUUCCCCAACCAAUGUGGGACUUUUACCCACUCUAACAUUCUAGUGGUUAAGAGUGUGCAUUUCCGCAUCAACAACCCGGGUUUAAAUCUUGACAGGUGCAGCAGUGCUUUAUUUUCUUUGUUUUUUAAACAGUUCUUUGCCCAAGGAAAAAUAUAAACACCCUUAACCAAAAGUCUGGCUCCGCCACUGUUUACGGCUUUCGAUAUCAACACUAUGGUUUUCAAUCUAAAUAGUUUUAAUUUCAACCAAUCUACAGUUGAUAAUCAAGGGCUUUCCUUUCUUUCUUAAAAUACAUGCCAAAUCAAACUUUCUUAAAAUACAUGCCAAAUCAAACUAUGUCACAUAAAUUGUGACGAUUAAUUUUUACUUACCCAACAGUGUCUUGCCUAUGUGAAAUUGGGAUAACACCUGCCCUGCUAGUGAGGCCAACAGUUGGUUUGAUUCCAACAACUGAAUUAGCAUUGGCUGGAUAUAGAAUGGAUCCUGCUGUUUCUGUCCCCAAUGCUAGUGCUGCAAGGUUUGCUGCUACUGAUGUUGCAGAACCAGUGCUUGACCCUGAUGGAUCAGCACUUGCUACAUAAGGAUUCUGUAAUAACAUGAGUAAAAACACCAAAUACAUUUUUAGUCAAAUUGUUCUUAAAAAAAAAGGCAAUCUGGUGCACGAAACAUUCUGCAUUCAGGCAAAAUCCGUCAAUGCCAGCAACAUCCCAAGAGGGUACAAUGUAGGUAAUCUACCCCGACACAAGCAACGGCUCGCAAAUGUGAGGUCACACGAAGGUAGCUUUACCUUUGCUCCAACUUAAAGUAGUAUAUACACUAAAUUUGUUUGUGGCACGGUGUUUAAGAAAGUAAAGAAGAUUCUCCAAUCUUGUGAUCUCAAAUAAGGGGAAAGGACAUAAAUGUCACCUCGCCUAAAAUAUUUCCACUGAUAUAGGCAUUGAUUUGGCAAUUCCAAUAGAUAGCCAUUUAGGCUUUUCUGUCGCUGCGACUAUCCUUCUUUUUUUUUUUUUUUUCCUUAUUUAUUGUUUAAUUUUUAAUGUCAAUUAUUUUAUAGGUUACAUUCUCUUCCUUCCUAUUUUUUUUGUUUGUUUUUCACUAUUUUUUUUCUUCUCUCUUUUAAUGUUGUUAAUUUUUUUUUUUGAGAAAAGUCCACUCUGUCCACCUAUUUAUUUUUGUAGAUGCGAUCACGAAAAUAAAAAUAUGAAAUACAAGUCCACCCAUAAUGUUCUAUCUCUUUUCAUACGAGUUAACACUAUAGCGGCACUUUGAUUUUUUUUCUUUCUGCUCUCUCUCUUUUUAAUUAAAAAAAUUAUGGAAUGUUUGGAUAGUAAGGGUACAAGGUUUAAUAAAUUUUGUAUAUGCUUGCACAAAUUUUCACAAAAUUUUAGGUGAAGUUAAAAAAUUCACGAAUAACGAAUUACUAUAGAUGCU